rnacentral:rRNA from 1 species
GAGUUUGAUCCUGGCUCAGGAUGAACGCUAGCGGGAGGCUUAACACAUGCAAGUCGAGGGGCAGCACGAGGUAGCAAUACUUUGGUGGCGACCGGCAGACGGGUGAGUAACGCGUAUGUAACCUACCCUGUACUGGGGGAUAACCCGGAGAAAUUCGGACUAAUACCCCAUAGAGAUAUAGAGAGGCAUCUUGAAAUAUUUAAAGUUUCGACGGUACGGGAUGGGCAUGCGUAACAUUAGCUAGUUGGUAAGGUAACGGCUUACCAAGGCUUUGAUGUUUAGGGGUCCUGAGAGGGUGAUCCCCCACACUGGUACUGAGACACGGACCAGACUCCUACGGGAGGCAGCAGUGAGGAAUAUUGGUCAAUGGGCGAAAGCCUGAACCAGCCAUCCCGCGUGCAGGAAGACGGCCCUAUGGGUUGUAAACUGCUUUUCCAGGAGGAGAAACUCUCGUACGUGAUACGGGAUUGACGGUACCCUGGGAAUAAGCAUCGGCUAACUCCGUGCCAGCAGCCGCGGUAAUACGGAGGAUGCAAGCGUUAUCCGGAUUCAUUGGGUUUAAAGGGUGCGUAGGCGGACUAUUAAGUCAGUGGUGAAAUCCUGCAGCUUAACUGCAGAACUGCCGUUGAUACUGAUAGUCUUGAGUUUGGUUAAG